UGUACUCAUGUGCAUUCGCCCUGUUCGUCAUCUGUUCUUUUCUUGUAAUCCUCUUGCAUAAUACCAAUUUGUAUUUGGCCAAUGCCUUGUUGAUCAAUGAAAUCCUUGUUGAUCAAUUUGUAUUCUCUCUAAGUUUGGUUAGAGAGAGAAAUUCUCUGUUAGGGUUUUUCUUUUUUUUUUUUUUGAGACUUAAGACCCUGUCUCUGUCUAUCUAUGGCUAUCCCUGCUCUUUCCGAGCAGGGGUGGUCUUCUUCCAUCUCACCCGACAGUGAGUUUUGUUCCUCCCCUACCUAGUGAGGUUAUAUAGUUUUAUUUUAUCUUUUAUUUUAUUUUAUUUUAUUUUGACAAAUUAAGCUUAUUUGAGGAGAUUCUUUCAGUAUCUAUCUCGUAUUGGCUGUACUUUGAUGUCUUGUAUGCGCUUCAAGGAAUACUCUGCGGGAAAAAGAAAUCGAAUCUCAUGAGGUAGAUUUUCUCUUUUGCUGGGUUUGUUCGACUGGAAGAGUUUUUCUUUGCUUGAAUGAUGGGGGCUAGACUCGAUCAGGGAGGUUCAUCUCUCUUUUUUUAGCGUCUUGGUUUCCAUCAUCGACCUUCAGAUUCGGCGAUACAUGGUUUUGAUCGUGGUUGAAGCUGAAUGAGCUCCGUGCUACAUCUGGUUUCUCGCUUGUCCAGAUCGGUUCGGAGAGGGCUCACAAUAACGGCGCGAAUGGGUUGCCUCAUAACACCUCUUCACCGCCUUCGCCUACCUUUUGAGCUGAUUGAAGCUUCAUUGACCCCUAGAGAUGUUUGAUUGAAGGCUGAUAAAGAUGAAAACCUUAGAGGCAUUGUGCAAGGUCAGGUGGCCGAAGGUCGAUGGAAAAGCGGCAUUGAUUGCAGUAAUUUUUGGAUCUUCAAGGGGUCAUCCUCAGGAGUUGGAUUUUUAGGCUUUCAGAGCUUUUUGGUCUUUUUUAUUUUUCUUAUUUUUUGGGUCCCAGAUUAUUCCGCAUGCACCGGAUGCUUUUAGUUCUUGGCGAUAUUUUGUGCUAUUGGCUCUCUUGUAUUAUUACAUAAUUUUGUAUGCAGGUAUAUAAAUUAAUUUAUAUAUUUAAUAAUAAAAUUAAAAUAUUAUAUUAA